GGCGCUGGACCAGCACCUCACCAUCCCGAGCUGAUUCGUAAUCAGCAGGCCGGGGGUUCGAAUCCCUCCAGCGGCU
rnacentral:tRNA from 1 species